AACACAUGCAAGUCGCGGGGCAGCAUGGGGGCAGCAAUGCCCCUGAUGGCGACCGGCGCACGGGUGAGUAACGCGUAUCCAACCUGCCCGGCACCCCGGUAUAGCCUUCCGAAAGGAAGAUUAAUCCCGGAUGUUGCGGUGAUUCCGCAUGGAAUUACCGCUAAAGGCCAGCGGUGCCGGAUGGGGAUGCGUUCCAUUAGGUAGUUGGAGGGGUAACGGCCCACCAAGCCUACGAUGGAUAGGGGUUCUGAGAGGAAGGUCCCCCACAUUGGAACUGAGACACGGUCCAAACUCCUACGGGAGGCAGCAGUGAGGAAUAUUGGUCAAUGGGCGCAGGCCUGAACCAGCCAAGUAGCGUGGAGGAUGACGGCCCUACGGGUUGUAAACUUCUUUUAGCGGGGAAUAAAGUGGCCCACGCGUGGACCAUUGCAUGUACCCUCUGAAUAAGCAUCGGCUAACUCCGUGCCAGCAGCCGCGGUAAUACGGAGGAUGCGAGCGUUAUCCGGAUUUAUUGGGUUUAAAGGGAGCGUAGACGGGCCGUUAAGUCAGUUGUGAAAGUUCGGGGCUCAACCUUGGAAUUGCAGUUGAAACUGGCGGUCUUGAGUGGGGUAUAGGAAGGCGGAAUUCGUGGUGUAGCGGUGAAAUGCUUAGAUAU
rnacentral:rRNA from 1 species